UCUCCGUAGGUGAACCUGCGGAGGGAUCAUUACUGAGUGAGGGCUUCGGUCCGACCUCCAACCCUUUGUGAACCAAACUUGUUGCUUCGGGGGCGACCCUGCCGCUUCGGCGGUGCGGCGCCCCCGGGGGAAAUCAAACACUGCGUCAAUUUGUGUCGGAGUAUUAGUAAAUCUAAUCAAAACUUUCAACAACGGAUCUCUUGGUUCUGGCAUCGAUGAAGAACGCAGC
rnacentral:misc_RNA from 1 species